rfam:Ipomoea nil DNA, scaffold: scaffold0146, cultivar: Tokyo-kokei standard.
CGGAGUGAUGAUAAACAGGAGAUGCUGCACCAGACUGAGCUGAGAAUGAUGUGUAGGAGCGCCCAGAGUUGUCGGUAA